GGGGUGGAGACUGCAAACCCAGGUGCAAAAUCGGGGCCACGGAGAGGUGCCAACAAGGAAUUAGUGAAAGGGAGGCAAAUACUUGCUUCCAGAGGAAUCGAAGAAAGGCUUUGUAGUAUAUACACUGCACCAUAAAAGACUAUCAAAGGGCAGAGAGGGGAUGAGUGCUCUAUACAGAAUGUACUGCAGAAGCAAAGGUGGGGAAUAAAGACGCUCACCUGCUAAAUCAGCCCGGAGCUCUGGAAUACAAUACCCAUCCUGAGCGUUAUCAGACGGAUGGCUUUGCUGUGGGCCUGCUCAGUGUGCCGAGAAUGCAGAUGUCUUGUGCCGCCCUCUCCUGCCGACUGGAUGACUCCACAAUCAGGCGUUCAGGAAAGCCAUCAAGCCAUAAGGACAGAGGAUGAGCAGGUAGCGAUGCAGGAGGUGAGGUCGGAGACCUGGGAAGAGGAGUCCAUGCCGGCUCCGUGCAGCUCGGGACACAUGCUAGGACCUCAGUAAGCAUUUACUGAGUGAGCAAAACGAAUGGAUGAAUCAGAUCAUCGAAACUGGAAGCUCUUCGCAGCGCACAUUUGAAUGGGGGCGUUUGUGCAGCCACCAGCUCCAUUAACCCGACAUGCCGAUGUGAUUAAUGUUGCUUUCUGCAGAAGUCUUGGCCUGAAAAUCUCAACGCUGAACACCUGAAGGAAAAAAAAAAAAAAAAGCCCACUGGCAAAGCUUUCUUUUCCCAGUGGGAGACUCCCAGCAACGUUGCCAGUAUCCUGGGGCCAAUACCUUUCUGACGUUGCAAUAACUCCCAAGUGAAACAAAUUGCCCACGAGUUUAUAAGCUUCUUGUUCGUUGGAUGGAUUCCUCCGAGUGCUCUGUUGGCUUCACUCUCCCCACGCACAUGCCAGUGAGUUCCACUGACAAUUCGUGUGCCUGCAAGUUCGCGCUGCGGCAGAGGCAGGCUGGCAUUUCCGAGUUAGCAUCUGCUCUGUGAUCUAUGAUCUACGGUUCCCACUCCCUCCUGCCUUCACUUUGAACUGAAGUGCUGCGUUAAGCAACCCCACUACCCACCGCCGAGCAAGCCGGGACCUGAGUCCUGACGAGUGCUAUCCCAGGUUAACCAGUAAGCCCAGUAUUGCCACUGCCGGGUAAUGAUAGCCACAGUGAACUGAAUGAAGUGACCAUGGUGGCAAGGAUCAAGCUUGGCACUGGAGCUGGCCAGAAGGUUUAACCAGAGGAGGCCCUGGGGGACCCCGUGGGAAGCUAACGUGGAGAAUGGGCAUUUGGUUGUGGCCGCGCGUUUACACAGCAGACACUGAGAUGGAGAAGCGGUAGAGAAAGCAUAGCUGUCACCUGAGCAAAGAUCAGUUUGAUCCUUUGUGGUAAAAAUGCACCUGGGAAAUUAAAUUGUCAGAGUUCCCACGGUGGCUCAGCGGUAACAAACCCGACUAGGAUCCCUGAGGAUUCGAGUUUGGUCCCUGGCCUCGCUCAGUGGGUGAAGGAUCCUGCGUUGCCGUGAGCUGUGGAGUAGGUCGCAGACAUAGCUCAGAUCUGGCGUUGCUCUGGCUGUGGUGCAGGCCGGCGGCUGCAGCU
rnacentral:lncRNA from 1 species